UUCCUAUGCAUAUACUUCU
rnacentral:ncRNA from 2 species